AUGUGUUUCGUUAUUUGGACCAUUACUAUAAGAAAUUUCUAUUGUUUUAAUCCAAGGCGUAUCCGACAUUGUUUUAAAUUUUAAGAAAUUUAAGGGAUGUGUGGCUGAGAGGCCAAAGCCGCUUGGCUACGGCCUGGCCAACUAACAAGUGGACUCGAAUUCUAAUCCUGACUCAGAGUUGUGUUUACCCAUCAGCUUAGGGCAGAAUGGAAACCUUAUCAAGGCUUUCCAUUCCCACUAAGCAUGUCCCCAAAAGAGAUUGUUUUUUUUUCCUUUCCCCUCACUCCCUUCCCCUUUUUUUUCCCCGCCCCUGUAAAAAUCAAUUAAUUUGAUCUUGCACUGUUCUUUAUUUAACAGUACCUUCUUCCACUUCCAUGAAACAAUACGAACUACCAGAAGAGUUUAUUUCGCGGGAUAUAUAUGCUUCGUUAUAAUCUUGUU